GCAUCGAUGAAGAACGCAGUGAAUUGCGUUAAGAAUCACGAAUUACAGAUAUUAUGAGUGAUAUGUUUUCGAUUGCAUAUUGCACCGUUGGGCACUUGCUCAUCGGUAUACCCAAUUCAGGGUGUGUAUCCCAAACACAUUGACACAAUGCACUCGCUGGUUGUGUCAGAAUUUACUUGUUUCUUGUUUCGGUGGAAAGGAACCAUUAGUCAGUAAAAGUGCAAAUUUCUGCUGCUUUUGGUUAUAACGAAGCAUAGAACCCAUAUGAAUCCACCUGAAUUGGAUAUGAUCACCCGCUGAACUUAAGCAUAUCAAUAAGCGGAGGA
rnacentral:rRNA from 1 species